rnacentral:lncRNA from 1 species
CGGCCCUGGCGGUUUUUGCCCCUUGGGGUGGGCACUGCAAACUUCUAUGGAGUGGUCCCACAGGCAGUGAGAUGGCCUCCGCCUAACUUCGUCAGAUUCGCAGACCCACCGUCGAGCGAGACCGCUUUUGCGAAUCAAACCGGCUGCUCUAGUCUCCUUUCUUUGGCCAGAGAGCGCAGAGUCCUGCGGCCUUCGCCCCAAAGUUUGCACGUCCUUGGGCAGCUGGUCCUUUUCAGACAGGGAUUGAGAAACGGAAAUUUCACCACCCUCCAGCCAAACUUUCGAGGACUGAUUGCAGAGGAACUGGUGCUCCAGAUGUUGCACUAGAGGCGCUGCAAGUGUGAGCAGAUGGCAGUAGACCUACCUCACAAGUGGGAGCAGAUAUUCUCAAUGUUUCUAUUGAAAUAUCUUUAUUUCCAUUUGCAAGAGGAGCUCUGGAGCCUCAUUCUUGUGGUAGCUACCAAGUUCUGAUAUAAGCUGUUUUCAUCAGGGAACUUUGGCAAGAGAAUGGCUGGAUCAGCAAGUCCAUCUCCAUAAUGGAACAACAACUUGAAGCUCAUCUCUGUUGAUGGGCUGAACCCACUGGAUGUGGAAAUUCCUAGGCUAGGCAUUGAAUUGGAGCCGCAGCUGCCUGUCUAGGCCACAGUCACAGCAACACUAGAUCCGAGCCACGUCUGCGACCUACACCACAGCUCACAGCAAUGCUGGAUCCUUAACCCACUGAGCAAAGCCAGGGAUAGAACCCACGUCCUCAUGGAUACCAGUCAGAUGUACAGUCUGUAGGAUGGGGGUAGACUGAAUACCUGCUUCACGGAAUACUUGCUUCAAAUCACCUUUCACAUCUUCUUGUUGGAAAGACAAUCAUUGGAGAAUCGUCUUGUUACUGUCAGCAAAACUGAAAAGAAAUCAAGACAUUAAGAAUGCCACAGUGGCCAGCAGUUAAUGAUGCCAGUGUUAUGCAAGCUUCGGCAAAGGAAUUUUUUUCAAGACAGCGUGCCUCACUAGCCAGAAAUCAGGAAAGGUCGAACCUAUCCUUUUUAUCUCAGCUGUUUCUUCAGUCAGUGCAGCCCCUCCUAAUUAAAGUGAAUUGAAACAUGCAUUGCCUUUUCAGCUUAAUUGAGUACUUACUAUGUGUGAAUCACUGCACAGAAUAGGGGAGGGAAAAUGAGGGAGACAAAUAAGAUAUUGUCCCUGCCUUCACUGGAUUUACAGUUAGUUUAAGGGCUUUUUUUGUCUUCUGCUCUUAAUUAAGUGUAUCCCUAAGACAGGAAAUGAAUGGAAAAGUGUAUUCUGUAAGUAUUUGAAAUCUCCUUAAUAUAAGACGAAAUAAAAACUAAUGUG